rnacentral:lncRNA from 1 species
GUUUGGUUGUCACUGCUAUAGUCUCUGCUGUUUGUAAGUUCUCAUGAAUUUGUGAUGCUUUUAUGGCAGGUGCUAAAGCAAACAGAGAUUCCUGGGGACUGCACAGUUCAGCACCCUUGAAAGGAGAAAAGGGAGACAGAGGUGCUCCAGGACCACCAGGUCCACCUCUGCCUCCAUCAUAUUUCAGCCACUUUAUUAAUAGCAUAAAGGGUGAAAAAGGAGACAACGGAGUCACUGGUGUAAAAGGAGAAAAAGGAGAACCAAAUGGAGGGGGUUUUUUGACAGGACCUCCUGGACCACCUGGAAGACCAGGAUUAGUUGUAAGUCACACGAAUUGUAGAAUAGGAAUAUUUGUGAGUACCCAUUGUUUUAAUUUAGAAAGCACUAAAAAGAGACAAA